GAAUGUUUAACCUAGAGGGAGCAGUGGUUAAGGGGUGGGGUUAUGUGAGGUAACAUCGUUUAGGUGAGGUUUAUCUACGUAUGUUACCUGUGUGUUUGUGAGUCUCUUUGUUCACUUGUUUGGGAAAGCGCACAAGCAGGAGUCACGAUGGAUUGCGGUUCAAAGAAGAAGGAUAAGGGAGAGUGCAAAGACAAGUCUGGAGGUAAGGACAAGCCAAAGGACAAAGGCAAAGACCACAAGAUGAAGGACAAAAAGAAAAAGGAAAAGAA